GGAGGAACUAUGGUGGAAGGCAUUGGAUUUUGCUGCUCUUAAAAGGAGUUCAGUUUCAUUCUUUGAUGUGGAGAAACAAGAAUCUGCUGUGUCAAGGUGGGCAAGGGCAAGAACAAGAGCAGCUAAGGCAGCUAACCUCCGUGAAAGGUUCGAGCAACACAGACACGUGCUUUCAUGGCCCAAGACAUUGUCAAUAAGU